rnacentral:lncRNA from 1 species
ACGCAAAAAACGUUCUAUUUCAUCCUUACAAACAUCCCUAUCUUUGAUGCCUCUUUGUCUAGAUCUCUAUCCCCUCCUGUUUUCUCUACGUUAUUUAUAUGGGUAUCAUCACCAUCCUGGACAACAUCAGGACAGAUAUCCCUCACCAAGCCAAUGUUCCUCUCUAUGUUGGCUCAAAUGUCCUUGAACUUUCCUUUCACCACCCUUUCCACAGUCAAAAGGAUAUUGUAGUUUAAUGCCUCAGAGUUCAGCUUUUAAGCUUCUGACAAAUUAUUCUUCCUCUUUAGGUUCUCCUUUAUGGAAUCUUCUGUACUGAUGGCCAUGUCCUUUAACUACUAUGUAGAUAUCUGCUACUACCUGUAUUAUGCCUCUACCUUUAUUAGCAGAGUUAUCUGUACUGUUGGCAUGACAAUCAUUUGUUAAUAUGACUUGCCUUUCCUUUUUCUGCUAUUCUUGAUCAAAUGGCUCCUCUUUCUUGCUCCUCUCAUUUCUCCUGCCUUCACUUGGACGUGCUUCACGUAGUCUGUGCUUAUGACUGGAUUAAAAAUUGAUAUGGACUUAUCCUAAUGUUGUUCGUCAUAAUAUGGGUUUUAUGGUCCAUUAUUAUUUCCUAUGCAUUG